rnacentral:tRNA from 1 species
AAUAAGGUGCCUGAAUAAAGGGUUAUUUUGAUAGAAUAAAUUAUGUAAAUUACUUACCCUUAUUA